UGAGGAAUAUUGGUCAAUGGGCGCAAGCCUGAACCAGCCAUCCCGCGUGCAGGAAGACGGCGCUAUGCGUUGUAAACUGCUUUUCCAGGGAGAGAAACUUGCGCACGUGUUGCGCAAUUGACGGUACCCUGGGAAUAAGCAUCGGCUAACUCCGUGCCAGCAGCCGCGGUAAUACGGAGGAUGCGAGCGUUAUCCGGAUUUAUUGGGUUUAAAGGGUGCGUAGGCGGAUUAUUAAGUCAGUGGUGAAAACCUGCAGCUUAACUGUAGACUUGCCAUUGAUACUGGGAAUCUUGAGUAUGGUCAAGGCAGGCGGAAUGUGUAAUGUAGCGGUGAAAUGCUUAGAUAUUACACAGAACACCGAUAGCGAAGGCAGCUUGCUGGGCCGUUACUGACGCUGAUGCACGAAAGCGUGGGGAUCGAACAG
rnacentral:rRNA from 1 species